CAGCAGCCGCGGGAAAUACAGAGGGUGCAAGCGUUAAUCGGAAUUACUGGGCGUAAAGCGCGCGUAGGUGGUUUGUUAAGUUGGAUGUGAAAGCCCCGGGCUUAACCUGGGAACUGCAUCCAAAACUGGCAAGCUAGAGUACGGUAGAGGGUGGUGGAAUUUCCUGUGUAGCGGUGAAAUGCGUAGAUAUAGGAAGGAACACCAGUGGCGAAGGCGACCACCUGGACUGAUACUGACACUGAGGUGCGAAAGCGUGGGGAGCAAACAGGAUUAGAUACCCGAGUAGUCCCUGUCUCUUAUA
rnacentral:rRNA from 1 species